ensembl:lincRNA
GCUUAACCAAGCAGCUUAAUUUGACAAAUGACCCAUUUCAUUAAUGGCACCCAGAGUGGCCUGACCAGGAGGGGGCCGGUUCUUUCAGCCAGGGACCCAAAACCUUGCAGUCCUUCCCUGAAAUUCCGGGAACACAGGGCACGUGCUGCACUGUGACAGGUGUUUGGUCCCCUCCCUGUGGCUUCUUCCGAAGUCCCUACCCAGUUUCCUGUUUCUUCCUGAGGGGGAGUAGCCACAGGCAGGGAGUUACAGGGGUGAGGAUAAAGGCUGUGGUGCCAGCCGUCCUGGACACUGAGGGACAGCAGUGACCAUGAGUGACUUCAAGCAAGUGCGGGUGCAGCAGCUGGACCCCCUGGAGGAGGAGCUGGCGGCCAGCAGCGCCAGAGGCUCCCUCAGCCACCACGCACUCCAGCCGCCCUCCAGAGCAGGCAGCUCUGCAGUCUCCAGGGUCCCCAGCUCCCAGGGACAGAAGGUGUGCCAGGAGCUGACCCAGCUGAAGGCAGGAGUCGACCGCCUGUGCCGCCCCUGCCCCUGGGACUGGACGUUCUUCCAAGGACACUGUUACUUCUUCUCCAAGUCCCAGCGGAACUGGCACGACUCCGCCACCGCCUGCCAGGAAGAGGGGGCCCAACUAGUCGUCAUCAACAGCGCUGAGGAGCAGGUGCAUGGUGGGCCCCAUCCUGGUCUGGGGCAGGCAUCUGGCCACUGGCCACGUGGGAGGAGACGUUGGUCAGAACAGGGUUUUCAGGAGCAGGGGCUGCUUCCUCCAGUGGAAGGGAGGAGACGGGCAUGGACAGGGGGUCCCAGGCAGCUUGCAGGGAAAAUCUCAGAAAGUCUGGACAUGCAUAAGUGCUUUGGGAGACACACCUAGAGGGUGACCUGGUGCGCUGGCCAGGGGAGCCGCCUGCUCUCAGCGAUAACUCGGGGGCGCCGUGCCCAUCUCCCUGGUGUAAACCUGCCCCCCCCCCCACCCCGUGGUCGCAUUCCAUGACUAAAACACUCAGGUUCCUCCAGGUGAACUGGGCUGCACAAAAUUACUAUCUUUGGGUUCUGUGAUGGCUCCUCUGACCUUAGGUGUCCUUGGAACAAGAGAGAGAGAGACAGAGAGAGAGAGAGAGUUGAGCCCUUUUAUUGGGGAAAAGCCAUUCAAAUGAGGCUGGGGUCAGGAUUCAGGGGGCUGAGUCUGGCUUCCUGAGGUCUGCUGUCAGCAGGUUGACUGACAUCUAGGAAGGCCACACCCAAGGGCAGAGCAAGAGAAGGGGACACACAAAGGGCAUUUCCAUGGAACCUUCUAUCCCAAACAGGACAAAGGGGAAGUAUUACAAAAUAAUAAGUGAGUGUAGCUCAGCCCCGGGGGUGUAUCUGCUCGGAAGACUGGCCUUGCUAUCUGAGCAGGGGAAAAGCAGAGUCAGGAGCCAUGGCUCUACCACAGACCGCAGUGAUCUUUCAGAUCCCCGUGGUGCAUCAGGACCGGAAGGCGUGGUCACUCAAUGUGGCUCCCCACACCCGUGGACGAUGGCACAUGCCUGUAAUCCCAGUAGCUGGGGAGUCUGAGGCAGGAGGAUUUUGAGUUCAAAACCAGCCUUAGCAGCUUACCAAGGCCCUAAGUAACUCAGUGAGACCCUCUCUCUAAAUAAAAUACUAAAAAGAAUGGGCUGGGGAUGUGGCUCAGCCGUCAAGCACCCCUGGGUUCAAUCCCUGGUACAAAAAGAAAAGUAGUGGGGCUGGGGAUGUGGCUCAAGCGGUAGCGCGCUCGCCUAGCAUGUGUGCGGCCCGGGUUCGAUCCUCAGCAGCACCACAUACCAACAAAGAUGUUGUGU